CAAGAAUUGUGUACUAUUGCCAUGAUUUAAAUUGCAUUACCUAUGCUUUGAUCAUACAAGGUUACAGCAAAAAAACAAAAAAACACUAAUAAUAGGAUUUGAACCCAGGAUCACAUAGACAAACUAAUCUACACUAACCAACCAAACUGCUUUGUAUUUGUGAUAUUGGUAGGCAGAAGAUAUCAGUAAAUUAUAAACAAAUCUAUCUAAUUAACUAAUUAGUUGAUUAAGUCAAUAUCCUAUCAUACAUGUUCUUUC
rnacentral:lncRNA from 1 species